CCUUGCCGGCGUGCCUAUACAUGCAGUCGAGCGAAUCGAUGGGAGCUUGCUCCCUGAGAUUAGCGGCGGACGGGUGAGUAACACGUGGGCAACCUGCCUAUAAGACUGGGAUAACUUCGGGAAACCGGAGCUAAUACCGGAUACGUUCUUUUCUCGCAUGAGAGAAGAUGGAAAGACGGUUUACGCUGUCACUUAUAGAUGGGCCCGCGGCGCAUUAGCUAGUUGGUGAGGUAAUGGCUCACCAAGGCGACGAUGCGUAGCCGACCUGAGAGGGUGAUCGGCCACACUGGGACUGAGACACGGCCCAGACUCCUACGGGAGGCAGCAGUAGGGAAUCUUCCGCAAUGGACGAAAGUCUGACGGAGCAACGCCGCGUGAACGAAGAAGGCCUUCGGGUCGUAAAGUUCUGUUGUUAGGGAAGAACAAGUACCAGAGUAACUGCUGGUACCUUGACGGUACCUAACCAGAAAGCCACGGCUAACUACGUGCCAGCAGCCGCGGUAAUACGUAGGUGGCAAGCGUUGUCCGGAAUUAUUGGGCGUAAAGCGCGCGCAGGUGGUUCCUUAAGUCUGAUGUGAAAGCCCACGGCUCAACCGUGGAGGGUCAUUGGAAACUGGGGAACUUGAGUGCAGAAGAGGAAAGUGGAAUUCCAAGU
rnacentral:rRNA from 2 species